ensembl:rRNA 5S_rRNA 5S ribosomal RNA
GCUGACGUUUUCAGUGAUACCACCCUGACUUCAAGAAGCCAAGCAGAGUCACGCCAAGUCAGUACUUGGGUGGGUUACCACCAGGGAAUCCCAGUGGGAGUAGGCU